AGCGAACGCUGGCGGCAGGCCUAACACAUGCAAGUCGAACGGAUCCUUCGGGAUUAGUGGCGGACGGGUGAGUAACACGUGGGAACGUGCCCUUUGGUUCGGAACAACUCAGGGAAACUUGAGCUAAUACCGGAUGUGCCCUUCGGGGGAAAGAUUUAUCGCCAUUGGAGCGGCCCGCGUCUGGUUAGCUAGUUGGUGAGGUAAGGGCUCACUAAGGCGACGAUCAGUAGCUGGUCUGAGAGGAUGAUCAGCCACGUUGGGACUGAGACAGAGCCCGAACUCCUAGGUGAGGCACCAGUGGGAGAUCUUGCGCAAAGGGCGAAAUCCUGACGCAGCCAGGCCGCUGGAAUGAUUAAGGUCUUAGGAUUGUAAAAUUCUUUCACCGGGGAAGUUGAUUACGGUACCCGGAGAAGAAGCCCCGGCUAACUUCGUGCCAGCCGCCGCGGUAAUAC
rnacentral:rRNA from 1 species